rnacentral:rRNA from 1 species
GCAAGUCGAGGGGUAACAGGGAAGCUUGCUAUUUUGCUGACGAGUGGCGCACGGGUGCGUAACGCGUAUACAAUCUACCUUUUACAGGGGGAUAGCCUUUAGAAAUGAAGAUUAAUACCCCAUAGUAUUAUAAAUUGGCAUCAAUUAAUAAUUAAAAUUUCGGUGGUAAAAGAUGAGUAUGCGUUCUAUUAGCUAGUAGGUAAGGUAACGGCUUACCUAGGCAACGAUAGAUAGGGGCCCUGAGAGGGGGAUC